rnacentral:rRNA from 1 species
AUUGAACGCUGGCGGCAUGCUUUACACAUGCAAGUCGAACGGUAACAGGCCGCAAGGUGCUGACGAGUGGCGAACGGGUGAGUAAUGCAUCGGAACGUGCCCAGUCGUGGGGGAUAACUACUCGAAAGAGUAGCUAAUAACGCAUACGAUCUAUGGAUGAAAGCGGGGGACCGUAAGGCCUCGCGCGAUUGGAGCGGCCGAUGUCAGAUUAGGUAGUUGGUGGGGUAAAGGCUCACCAAGCCAACGAUCUGUAGCUGGUCUGAGAGGACGACCAGCCACACUGGGACUGAGACACGGCCCAGACUCCUACGGGAGGCAGCAGUGGGGAAUUUUGGACAAUGGGCGCAAGCCUGAUCCAGCAAUGCCGCGUGCAGGAAGAAGGCCUUCGGGUUGUAAACUGCUUUUGUACGGAACGAAACGGCUCUGGUUAAUACCCGGGGCUAAUGACGGUACCGUAAGAAUAAGCACCGGCUAACUACGUG